AGUUAAGGAUAUGUUAUCUUCCAGGUACAGAUUCCUCGCUUGGUUUGGAUGCAUUCUGAUGAGAUGGAGGAUAUUCAAGAGGCACAUGCUGGGCAAAUAGUUGCUGUAUUUUGUGUGGAUUGUGCAUCAGGAUAUACAUUUACUGAUGGGUCAGUUAAAUCCACAAUGACUUCUAUGAAUGUCCCUAAGCCAAUGAUGCCUUUAGCCGUUCAACCAGUUUCAAAAGAUUCAC